rnacentral:rRNA from 1 species
GCAUAUCAAUAAGCGGAGGAAAAGAAACCAACAGGGAUUGCCCUAGUAACGGCGAGUGAAGCGGCAACAGCUCAAAUUUGAAAUCUGGCUCUUUUAGAGUCCGAGUUGUAAUUUGCAGAGGGCGCUUUGGCUUUGGCAGCGGUCCAAGUUUCCUUGGAACAGGACGUCACAGAGGGUGAGAAUCCCGUACGUGGUCGCUAGCUAUUGCCGUGUAAAGCCCCUUCGACGAGUCGAGUUGUUUGGGAAUGCAGCUCUAAAUGGGAGGUAAAUUUCUUCUAAAGCUAAAUAUUGGCCAGAGACCGAUAGCGCACAAGUAGAGUGAUCGAAAGAUGAAAAGCACUUUGGAAAGAGAGUCAAACAGCACGUGAAAUUGUUGAAAGGGAAGCGCUUGCAGCCAGACUUGCUUGCAGUUGCUCAUCCGGGCUUUUGCCCGGUGCACUCUUCUGCAGGCAGGCCAGCAUCAGUUUGGGCGGUGGGAUAAAGGUCUCUGUCACGUUCCUUCCUUCGGGUUGGCCAUAUAGGGGAGACGUCAUACCACCAGCCUGGACUGAGGUCCGCGCAUCUGCUAGGAUGCUGGCGUAAUGGCUGUAAGCGGCCCGUCUUGAAACACGGACCAAGGAGUCUAACAUCUAUGCGAGUGUUUGGGUGUCAAGCCCGAACGCGUAAUGAAAGUGAACGGAGGUGGGAACCCGCAAGGGUGCACCAUCGACCGAUCCUGAAGUUUACGGAAGGAUUUGAGUAAGAGCAUGGCUGUUGGGACCCGAAAGAUGGUGAACUAUGCUUGAAUAGGGUGAAGCCAGAGGAAACUCUGGUGGAGGCUCGCAGCGGUUUCUGACGUGCAAAUCGAUCGUCAAAUUUGGGCAUAGGGGCGAAAGACUAAUCGAACUAUCUAGUAGCUGGUUCUGCGA